rnacentral:rRNA from 1 species
AACCCGACUCCAUGAAGCUGGAUUCGCUAGUAAUCGCGCAUCAGCCAUGGCGCGGUGAAUACGUUCCCGGGCCUUGUACACACCGCCCGUCAAGCCAUGGAAGCCGGGAGUGCCUGAAGUGCGUGAGCGUAAGCAGCGCCCUAAGGUAAAACCGGUGACUGGGGCUAAGUCGUAACAAGGUACC